rnacentral:rRNA from 1 species
GUGGGGAAUUUUGGACAAUGGGCGCAAGCCUGAUCCAGCAAUGCUGCGUGCAGGAAGAAGGCCUUCGGGUUGUAAACUGCUUUUGUACGGAACGAAACGGUCCGGGUUAAUACCCUGGGCUAAUGACGGUACCGUAAGAAUAAGCACCGGCUAACUACGUGCCAGCAGCCGCGGUAAUACGUAGGGUGCAAGGGUUAAUCGGAAUUACUGGGCGUAAAGCGUGCGCAGGCGGUUUUGUAAGACAGGCGUGAAAUCCCCGGGCUCAACCUGGGAAUUGCGCUUGUGACUGCAAGGCUGGAGUGCGGCAGAGGGGGAUGGAAUUCCGCGUGUAGCAGUGAAAUGCGUAGAUAUGCGGAGGAACACCGAUGGCGAAGGCAAUCCCCUGGGCCUGCACUGACGCUCAUGCACGAAAGCGUGGGGAGCAAACAGGAUUAGAAACCCUUGUAGUCC